AAGGAAAAGAAUGAAAAGCGCAAAAAGUAGAAUGCAAAAUUUGAACGUGGCUUUCCAUUUUGUUGUUGGGUCCUUAUUUGUUUAUUCCAUGUGAGCACAUAGGCAUUUUGGUGAGAACAUUCUCAUAUCAAUGGUUUAAGGCUUUCUAGACACUCACAUUUUGAUACUUAAAAAGGGAUAUACAGUAGAGAGGAGAUAGAACGGAAGGAACAAGAAAAGAAUAGGAAAAAUCCUUAGCGCCGCAUCACUCACCUUGGACAGCAAAUUGACACACUUAGUGAUCUUUCUUCUUAAUUUCCUUCCAUAACACCCAACCUUUUUCCUCUGCGAUUGGUUGACAAGCUGAUCUCCAUAUUAUUGUCUACUAAUCGAAAUCACCCAAAACUCCGUCUCUACCCGUUUUUGUCUCCAUCUCUUUCUUUCGUUCUCAAGAUUAAUAAAGGUAUAAAUCACGGGUUGAGUUUAGUGAGAUGUCCGGCGGGGCUCUCCGGUGGAGAUCUUGUUCGCGGUUUUGUCACUUUUGCGUUUCUAAGCUGCCACUCAUUUAAAUUUCAGAUUUAUUUGAGGGACCUAACAUAGGUGCCCGAAAGAGAAUAAUAUACAGCCUGGAACAUUCAAAUCCAGAAAAUCUGAGCGGUCUAAAGUGGAGGGAAAAAUAAAUACAGUAUGUGAAUGAAGUGGAAUGAAAGAGUUAAAAAAAUAAUAAUUAUCUGUGUUGGGCACUCCAUUUCGCAGUGAUGAUUAACUCUGCUUUCCCAAUGUAUUGUCAAACCAUUUUAUGGCUCCAUUCAGUUGUGCAAUUUUCUUUCCUUCUACGGUAUGCUAGAGCUUCAAGCCAUUGCAUUUUCAUAUUCCUGGCUCCCAAACAACAACUGAACGUUUAUACAAAUCCACAAACAAACUUCUUCAGUCUAUAAUUGGUUUCUUCUGCACCAAACAAAGUAACAUAUAACAAGGAUAAAGGUGAACAAUUAUGUUGAAGCAGAGCAAAGUCUCAUUUGCCAUCUUAAUGCCUCCAGAUUUAGUCCUACUGUAGAAAUUCUGAAAAACUGCAGUGAACACAAAGUUUUUGUUGUCCCCUUCUUCUAACGUGAAUCAUGAUGGUGGUCUCAACAGUUUAGCUCUUGAUGGUUUAUACUUUCUGUCCUCCUUUUCAUGUUCUUCACUACCAAGAUAUCCUUAAGCUGCGCGCCACCUGCUAUUUUAGCAAAUAACAACUUAAUGGGGAACUUUUAAGCCCCAAAAAGUUCUUUUCUUCUCUUCUUAUCAAUAGUCGUUGAUUCAAUUCUUCAUCCUUAGACCAAUCCACCUCAUUAAUUCCAGCACUUCCCAAUGGAAACAUUACAAAGAAAAUUUGAUUAACUGGGUUAAUUACCAUACAUGAAGAUCUGGAUAGCAACGUAUCUGCUGAUGUUGAUAAAAAAAAAAAAUGACGCACAGAGUAAAUGUUGGUGUUCAAAUAUAACUCCAGCCACCUGUGUUUGAUGGCUCAUGUAUCACGAUAUAAGAAAAGUCAUGAGGCUAGCAUCACAAUUGAGAAUUGAUGGAGCUGGCAGUUGUGCUACAGAUUGGAAGCUACUGUUGGGCUGUUUGCAAACUGAGAAAGCGAUACGGCCAACAGAGUUGGCUAAAAAGCAUUUUAAAGAGAGGCUUUUGUAAGUUUUAUUCCUAAUGCAUUGAUUGUUGGCCAAGUUCAUACAGUCAAACUCAUUAAGAUUAUAUUACUGAUAUCUACGUUGAUUGGUAAUUGAAGAAGAUGCUUUACUAAUUGGAACAUUUACAACAUUAUGUCCGCAAUUUAUCUUUGGCAUAAUUUUAUAAAUUAAUGCCAUGCCGGUGAUACUUCCACACUUGAUAUUAAACCUGACUUGAAAUCCCUGGAGUAUAUGAUCUAUAAUGUUGAAAAAGGUAUAUUCAAGGCUUACAUUUGCAAAACUAGUCACUUUCGAUUUAUUUGAAGGGCGUCCUUAUGUAUGACUAUUACAGAGUAAUUCCUCUAUUUGUCAGGUUUAUGUUGUGGCAUAGAAGAUAUGGAUUCCUUAAAAUCUGGAGCUUCGAGGUCCUUUCACCAUUUAAUGGAUCCUAGCUUUGAACAUAUUCCACCAGCACAAUUAGAUGAGCUGGAACUUAAUAUAGACCAGUUCAUCACAUCCGAGUAUUGCUGCGGGGAGAGAAGUAUGUUCUGCUUGAAGUUGACCGACCUUACAGUAGAAUAUUUUCUCUUAUUGGUUGCUGAACAUGUGUAGCAAUUCUUUUUGGCGUGGAGAUACAUAGUUUGAUGAAGUUAGAUCACACCGCUUCUCUGUUCUUUUGCUAUUAUUGGUUUUGUACAAAGAUUCUAGCGUAUUUUCAAAAGAAAUUAUGCAUUUUUUAGCAACAGAGACUGAAUCUUUUGAUAACAAAGAGACGUACAACUUAUUUUCA